UCCGGUUUGUCACCGGCAGUCUCAUUAGAGUGCCCUUUCGUAGCAACUAGUGACAAGGGUUGCGCUCGUUGCGGGACUUAACCCAACAUCUCACGACACGAGCUGACGACGGCCAUGCAGCACCUGUGUUCAGAUUCUCUUUCGAGCACUCCCAAAUCUCUUCAGGAUCUCUGACAUGUCAAGGGUAGGUAAGGUUUUUCGCGUUGCAUCGAAUUAAACCACAUGCUCCACCGCUUGUGCGGGCCCCCGUCAAUUCCUUUGAGUUUUAAUCUUGCGACCGUACUCCCCAGGCGGAGUGCUUAAUGCGUUAGCGGCGCCACUGAACCCUACGGGCCCAACGGCUAGCACUCAUCGUUUACGGCGUGGACUAC
rnacentral:misc_RNA from 1 species